AGAAAGAGGUCCAAGAGGAAAAGGCUAGAGUUGAGUAUUGGGAGAGGAAGUUCCAAGAAAUGCAGUCGCAGAAUUUAGCAUUAGAAGAAGAGAAUAAAGGGUUGAAGACUAAGGUAACUGAGCUUGGAAGAUCCCUACGUUGGCACCGAAACCAUUAUCCUAUGGUCAAGGUAGAGGAGCUAAAAAGUAAGGUUGAAGAUUUGGAAGUGGUAUUACAUGAUGGUGAACUGCGGAUUGAGCAG
rnacentral:lncRNA from 1 species